AGAAUCAACGCUGGCGGCGUGCCUCAGACAUGCAAGUCGAACGCGAAAGUCCCCUUCGGGGGACAAGUAGAGUGGCGCACGGGUGAGUAACACGUAGGUAAUCUACCUUCGGAUGGGGAAUAACAACCGGAAACGGUUGCUAAUACCGCAUAAUGCAGCGGCACCUAAUGGUGACAGUUGUUAAAGCGGGGGAUCGAAAGCCUCGCGUCUGAAGAGGAGCCUGACGGCGGAUUAGCUAGUUGGUAGGUAACGGCCUACCGAAGGCGACGAUCC
rnacentral:rRNA from 1 species